rnacentral:rRNA from 1 species
UGAGGAAUCUUCCACAAUGGGCGAAAGCCUGAUGGAGCAACGCCGCGUGCAGGAUGAAGGCCUUCGGGUCGUAAACUGCUUUUAUGAGUGAAGAAUAUGACGGUAACUCAUGAAUAAGCACCGGCUAACUACGUGCCAGCAGCCGCGGUCAUACGUAGGGUGCAAGCAUUAUCCGGAGUGACUGGGCGUAAAGAGUUGCGUAGGUGGUCUUAUAAGCGAAUAGUGAAAUCUGGUGGCUCAACCACAUAGACUAUUGUUCGAACUGUAAGACUCGAGAACAGCAGAGGUAACUGGAAUUUCUAGUGUAGGAGUGAAAUCCGUAGAUAUUAGAAGGAACACCAAUGGCGUAGGCAGGUUACUGGGCUGUUUCUGACACUGAGGCACGAAAGCGUGGGGAGCGAACCGG